rnacentral:rRNA from 1 species
UACGGGGGGGGCAAGCGUUGUUCGGAAUUACUGGGCGUAAAGGGCUCGUAGGCGGCCAACUAAGUCAGACGUGAAAUCCCCAGGCUUAACCUGGGAACUGCGUCUGAUACUGGAUGGCUUGAAUCCGGGAGAGGGAUGCAGAAUCCAGGUGUAGCGGUGAAAUGCGUAGAUAUCUGGAGGAAUACCGGUGGCGAAGGCGGCAUCCUGGACCGGCAUUGACGCUGAGGAGCGAAAGCUAGGGAGCAAACGGG